rnacentral:lncRNA from 12 species
UUAGGUGACUCACCCAGGGUGACACAGUAGGACCUGGGGUUUUCUCCGGGACGGGAAUGAAGGUGGUGUCCGGCUUGGGAACAGUGUCUGGUCAACUGCAGCUCAAAGUUCAGGGACAGCACGGGCGAAGCCAAAGAUCGCAUGUGUGUUUGUGUUUGGAUUUUCUUCUAUGACUCCCCAUGGGAUGGAGCUAUCCUUAACAGCUUUGAAGUUGCUGGAGUUUUGUCAUCCUGGGGUGCUGAAUAUUUGCAGUUGAUAAUGUCAAAAUCUGUACCCAUGGAAACCGUUUUCCCGACGGCUUCUGCCUAGGACAAGCUCAAAUCUGCUGGAGUUUUGAUUUCAACUUGGUUCAAGAGGUAUCAUCUGGUGAGAGAAGGGGUUCUUCCUUGGGGGGCAGAGUUGAUAUGUGGAGAUUGUAACGGGAGAAUGAUUAGCAGGGGUCGCUGAUGGAGGGGAAGGCGCAGCCUCUUCGAAUGUUUGCUUUUGCUUCAUCUGUCUGUAAAGUGAGGAUCGCAGCAUCCUGCGUCCUACUGAAAUGGCCAAGUCACUCGGGACCUAGAAAUUUGGGAAGGCGAAGAUAUCCAUCUUUCUGAAAGCAAUACAAUUAAUUGCACCUGAGCUCAGCCCCCAUGAUCAGUGCAUGUUGGGAAAUUUUUUUUUUUUUUAAGUCCGCACACUUCAAAAGUUAUGAGGAAGAGGUCAUCC